UAGUCCACACCGUAAACGAUGAGAGCUAGUUGUCUGCAAGCAUGCUUGUAGGUGACGCAGCUAACGCAUUAAGCUCUCCGCCUGGGGAGUACGGUCGCAAGAUUAAAACUCAAAGAAAUUGACGGGGGCCCGCACAAGCGGUGGAGCAUGUGGUUUAAUUCGAAGCAACGCGCAGAACCUUACCUACCCUUGACAUGCCGGUCGCGAUUUCCAGAGAUGGAUUUCUUCAAUUCGGUUGGACCGUGCACAGGUGCUGCAUGGCCGUCGUCAGCUCGUGUCGUGAGAUGUUGGGUUAAGUCCCGCAACGAGCGCAACCCUCACUUUUAGUUGCCAGCAUUUAGUUGGGCACUCUAGAAGAACUGCCGGUGCUAAGCCGGAGGAAGGUGGGGAUGACGUCAGGUCCUCAUGGCCCUUACGUCCAGGGCCACACACGUGCUACAAUGGCUGGUACAGAGGUCGCCAACCGCAAGGGGGAGCUAAUCUCAGAAAGCC
rnacentral:rRNA from 1 species